UACGGAGGGUGCAAGCGUUGCUCGGAUUUAUUGGGCGUAAAGGGUAGGUAGGUGGUCUUAUUUGUCUAGGGUGAAAUCCUUGAGCUUAACUCAAGAAGUGCCCUAGAAACGGUAAGACUAGAGUCCUGGAGAGGGUCGUGGAAUUCCCGGUGUAGCGGUGAAAUGCGUAGAGAUCGGGAGGAACACCAGAGGCGAAGGCGGCGACCUGGACAGGUACUGACACUAAGCUACGAAAGCGUGGGGAGCAAACAGG
rnacentral:rRNA from 1 species